UGGAUAUUAAGUUAAUAUAAAAACUGUAUGUUUCAUGUGCAUGUAAUGUUGUAUUUAGGUACGCAUAUCCUU
rnacentral:tRNA from 1 species